rnacentral:rRNA from 1 species
AUGCACGCUGGCGGCGUGCCUAAUACAUGCCAGUCGCGCGAACAGACGAGGAGCUUGCUCCUCUGACGUUAGCGGCGGGCGGGUGAGUAACACGUGGAUAACCUACCUAUAAGACUGGGAUAACUUCGGGAAACCGGAGCUAAUACCGGAUAAUAUAUUGAACCGCAUGGUUCAAUAGUGAAAGACGGUUUUGCUGUCACUUAUAGAUGGAUCCGCGCCGCAUUAGCUAGUUGGUAAGGUAACGGCUUACCAAGGCAACGAUGCGUAGCCGACCUGAGAGGGUGAUCGGUCACACUGGAACUGAGACACGGUCCAGACUCCUACGGGAGGCAGCAGUAGGGAAUCUUCCGCAAUGGGCGAAAGCCUGACGGAGCAACGCCGCGUGAGUGAUGAAGGUCUUCGGAUCGUAAAACUCUGUUAUUAGGGAAGAGCAAAUGUGUAAGUAACUAUGCACGUCUUGACGGUACCUAAUCAGAAAGCCACGGCUAACUACGUG